AUUGUUAAGUGGAAAAGGAUGUGGCGUUGCUUAGACAACCAGGAUGUUGGCUUAGAAGCAGCCAUCAUUUAAAGAGUGCGUAAUAGCUCACUGGUCGAGUGACGCUGCGCCGAAAAUGUAUCGGGGCUAAACAAUUCACCGAAGCUGUGGAUGGAUUCCGUAUGGAAUCCGUGGUAGGAGAGCGUUCUAAGGGCGUUGAAGCUAGACCGGAAGGACUGGUGGAGCGCUUAGAAGUGAGAAUGCCGGUAUGAGUAGCGAAAGACGGGUGAGAAUCCCGUCCACCGAAUGACUAAGGUUUCCUGAGGAAGGCUCGUCCGCUCAGGGUUAGUCGGGACCUAAGCCGAGGCCGAUAGGCGUAGGCGAUGGACAACAGGUUGAUAUUCCUGUACCACCACUCCACCGUUUGAGUAAUGGGGGGACGCAGAAGGAUAGGGUAAGCGUACUGUUGGUUAUGUACGUUCAAGCAGUAAGGCGUGGAAUGAGGCAAAUCCCGUUCCUAUAACGUUGAGCUGUGAUGACAAGGACCAUUAGGUCUGAGUUCCUGAUUUCACACUGCCAAGAAAAGCCUCUAACGAGGUGGAAGGUGCCCGUACCGCAAACCGACACAGGUAGUCGAGGAGAGAAUCCUAAGGUGAGCGAGAGAACUCUCGUUAAGGAACUCGGCAAAAUGACCCCGUAACUUCGGGAGAAGGGGUGCUCUAUUAGGGUGUUAAAGCCCGAGAGAGCCGCAGUGAAUAGGCCCAGGCGACUGUUUAGCAAAAACACAGGUCUCUGCAAAACCGUAAGGUGACGUAUAGGGGCUGACGCCUGCCCGGUGCUGGAAGGUUAAGAGGAGUGCUUAGCGCAAGCGAAGGUGCGAAUUGAAGCCCCAGUAAACGGCGGCCGUAACUAUAACGGUCCUAAGGUAGCGAAAUUCCUUGUCGGGUAAGUUCCGACCCGCACGAAAGGCGUAACGAUCUGGGCACUGUCUCAACGAGAGACUCGGUGAAAUUAUAGUACCUGUGAAGAUGCAGGUUACCCGCGACAGGACGGAAAGACCCCGUGGAGCUUUACUGUAGCCUGAUAUUGAAUUUUGGUACAACUUGUACAGGAUAGGUAGGAGCCUGAGAUUCCGGAGCGCCAGCUUCGGAGGAGGCGUCGGUGGGAUACUACCCUGGUUGUAUUGAACUUCUAACCCUUGCCCCUUAGCGGGGCAGGAGACAGUGUCAGGCGGGCAGUUUGACUGGGGCGGUCGCCUCCUAAAGUGUAACGGAGGCGCCCAAAGGUUCCCUCAGAAUGGUUGGAAAUCAUUCGUAGAGUGUAAAGGCAGAAGGGAGCUUGACUGCGAGACCUACAAGUCGAGCAGGGUCGAAAGACGGGCUUAGUGAUCCGGUGGUUCCGCAUGGAAGGGCCAUCGCUCAACGGAUAAAAGCUACCCCGGGGAUAACAGGCUUAUCUCCCCCAAGAGUCCACAUCGACGGGGAGGUUUGGCACCUCGAUGUCGGCUCAUCGCAUCCUGGGGCUGUAGUCGGUCCCAAGGGUUGGGCUGUUCGCCCAUUAAAGCGGUACGCGAGCUGGGUUCAGAACGUCGUGAGACAGUUCGGUCCCUAUCCGUCGUGGGCGUAGGAAAUUUGAGAGGAGCUGUCCUUAGUACGAGAGGACCGGGAUGGACACACCGCUGGUGUACCAGUUGUUCUGCCAAGAGCAUCGCUGGGUAGCUAUGUGUGGCCGGGAUAAGUGCUGAAAGCAUCUAAGCAUGAAGCCCCCCUCAAGAUGAGAUUUCCCAUUACGCAAGUAAGUAAGAUCCCUCAAAGACGAUGAGGUAGAUAGGUUCGAGGUGGAAGCGCGGUGACGUGUGCAGCUGACGAAUACUAAUCGAUCGAGGACUUAACCAA
rfam:Paenisporosarcina sp. HGH0030 genomic scaffold acAqH-supercont1.2, whole genome shotgun sequence.